ensembl:snRNA U6 U6 spliceosomal RNA
GUGCUGACUUGGCAGCACAUAUGCUAAAAUUAGAACAAUAAAAUUUUAGCAUGACUCCUGAACAUGGAUGGCAUGCAAAUUUGUGAAACAUUUCAUAUUUUU